rnacentral:rRNA from 1 species
GACGAACGCUGGCGGCGUGCUUAACACAUGCAAGUCGAACGGUAAGGCCCUUCGGGGUACACGAGUGGCGAACGGGUGAGUAACACGUGGGUGAUCUGCCCUGCACUUCGGGAUAAGCCUGGGAAACUGGGUCUAAUACCGGAUAGGACCACUGCCUGCAUGGGUGGUGGUGGAAAGCUUUUGCGGUGUGGGAUGGGCCCGCGGCCUAUCAGCUUGUUGGUGGGGUGAUGGCCUACCAAGGCGACGACGGGUAGCCGGCCUGAGGGGGUGACCGGCCACACUGGGACUGAGAUACGGCCCAGACUCCUACGGGAGGCAGCAGUGGGGAAUAUUGCACAAUGGGCGCAAGCCUGAUGCAGCGACGCCGCGCGAGGGAUGACGGCCUUCGGGUUGUAAACCUCUUUCAGCACCGACGAAGCGCAAGUGACGGUAGGUGCAGAAGAAGGACCGGCCAACUACGUGCCAGCAGCCGCCGUAA